rnacentral:rRNA from 1 species
CACGUAGAUAACCUGCCCUGGAGUGGGGGAUAACCAUUGGAAACGAUGGCUAAUACCGCAUGAAUCUGCACUUACGGGAGUGAGAGUAGAGAAAACUCUGGUGCUACAGGAGGGGUCUGCGUCCGAUUAGCUAGUUGGUGGGGUAAAGGCCUACCAAGGCGACGAUCGGUAGCUGGUCUGAGAGGACGAUCAGCCACACGGGAACUGAGACACGGUCCCGACUCCUACGGGGGGCAGCAGUGAGGAAUAUUGGGCAAUGGGCGAAAGCCUGACCCAGCAAUGCCGCGUGGAGGAAGACGGCCCUUGGGUUGUAAACUCCUUUUGUCGGGGAAGAGGAAGGACGGUACCCGGCGAAUAAGUCACGGCUAACUACGUG